CUUUUUUUGUAAGAAUUUACUAGUUAGUAUAUGGCCAGGCGGUGAUCGCACUACGACCGCAAUGCAUUAUUUUGGAUAUUUUCUUCAAGAUGGCGGAUUUCGAGCACGAUGAAAGGUAUGUUGGCGCUCUAUUUUCUGCCACGUUUUAAAGUUUAAACUUUUUGUUUUUUCUUAAAUUAAAAAGGAAGUUGCAUGUAAUAUUGUGAUGCUGUGUUACUUUUCAAAUCGAUAAUUUUUGGAAUUCGAUAAAAAAUAUCAUUUGAUUGUAAGCUCGUGUAUUUUUCCCAAAUACACUGGUCUGUUUACUUUUUCAUAUCACAGGUUAACCAUUCACACAUCACAUUUAAAAUUGCAAUUGGCAUAAUCUAUGAUCAUUAUUUGUGACCAUAUUAAAUGGCGCCCUUUGGCGCCCCUCAAUAUCGUAUCUUUUUGGGGCAUUUAAAUCAUGAUAUUUCCUUUGCUAAUUUCAGGUCUUCUUGUCCAGAGUUCAUGUUCUCCCGCUAUUUUCGGGAAGCGUUCGUGCAUCCCAGAGUCCCAUACGCCAGGCAAACAAAAAACAAAGCGGCAAAGAAAUAAUAAACGCAAAAGAGAAGCAAAAAAACAUUUUCAAAUGGAAAAAAUAAUGUGUGUCAAAAUGAGCAAGACCAAUGGCAGACUGUUGGACAACCGAAGAGGCGAAGAACAGACUUUAAUAAUGGGACUGUUUCAUAUUUGACAGGAUCAAUGACUGUCUGGUUGUGAAAAACCAUUUGUGCUUGUUGGAACUGUUUCUUGUAUUAUAGUCAGUUGGAGCAACUGGCAAUGAUUCAGUAAACUUUUCCUUGGUUAAUUUUAGAUGUGUUAAAAUUUUUGCCAUUUCCACCAAGUUACCCAUACCAUUUGUUUGUAGCUUUAAAUAGCACCUGAAACAUGACAUGCAUACUGUAGUCCACAUUGCUGCAGAAUGCCUUACUACGGAUGUAAAUAUAACACAGAUACAUGUACAGGCAUAAUACAGAUAGUGUCUCACACAAAUAGUGUACAGCAUUAUACCCAGGCAUUCACCAAGUCAAUGUUGAAAAUAAUAGUUCUGUGUAAAUUUUACCCCACCCAGGCCAUCCCAUUAAAAGCAGGACACCCAUGUCAAUAGUUGCACACAGUGUAUUAAUUAUGUUAUGGUAUGAACUACUUUGCAUAAUUAUAUAUUUGAACAGCCAUUUUCCCAAUCUGAAAAAACUUUCUCCCUAUAAACACAAACUGGGCUGGCAUGGAUGGAAGUUCUAAGAAUGCUGCUGUGAGUUAUGUAGAAAAACUGUUAGAACACUGUAAACCCAC